rnacentral:lncRNA from 1 species
GUUGGAAAUCCCGCCCUGAAUAUGAGGGGGUGGGUUGGUAAUUCCACCUCAGGUGCGUUGGAAAUCCCACCCCGAAUGUGAGGGGGUGGGUUGGUAAUUCCACCUUAAAAUUGCGAUGCGAUCUGCCCCAAGUUGCCUUAUGUUGGCUUGUCUUUGAGGGGGUGGAUUUAGUCCCACAUCGGUUAGAUUGGAAGCUUGAUCAGAGUUUAUAAAGAGGAAGCACUC